rnacentral:rRNA from 1 species
CAGCCGCCACGGUAAGACAGAGGGUGCAAACGUUGUUCGGAAUUACUGGGCGUAAAGCGAGUGUAGGCGGUUCGGUAAGUCGGAUGUGAAAGCCCCGGGCUCAACCCGGGAAGUGCACUCGAUACUACCAAGCUAGAGUACUGGAGAGGUUGGUGGAAUUCUCGGUGUAGAGGUGAAAUUCGUAGAUAUCGAGAGGAACACCGGUGGCGAAGGCGGCCAACUGGACAGAUACUGACGCUGAGACUCGAAAGCGUGGGGAGCAAACAGGAUUAGAUACCCGCGUAGUCCCUGUCUCUUAUAC